rnacentral:snRNA from 1 species
GGAUGUGAGGAUGAACUAGCUGUGACCUCUGUUACCUCAUUGGAUGCCAGGUUUGAGUCAGCACGUUUGGCUGUCUGGACAGGCGUCCCCAUCCUUCCUCACCACCCCAUGUGUAUUCACCCCAAGCUACCUACGUGGUCAGAGGAUGACCUUUCCUGGAGGAGGCUCUUUCUUCAGUCAAGGAUAUAGAGUAGCUUCAUUCCUCUGCUAGAAACUCCAAACAAGCUCUCAAGAAAGAGUUCAGUAAAUUGAUCUGUUAGAGAAAAAAAGACACUUAUAAAAUAAGCACUUUCGCUGAGAUUU